CCCUAGGGUCGUAAAGCUCUUUCGCCAGGGAUGAUAAUGACAGUACCUGGUAAAGAAACCCCGGCUAACUCCGUGCCAGCAGCCGCGGUAAUACGGAGGGGGUUAGCGUUGUUCGGAAUUACUGGGCGUAAAGCGCGCGUAGGCGGAUUAGUCAGUCAGAGGUGAAAUCCCAGGGCUCAACCCUGGAACUGCCUUUGAUACUGCUAGUCUUGAGUUCGAGAGAGGUGAGUGGAAUUCCGAGUGUAGAGGUGAAAUUCGUAGAUAUUCGGAGGGACACCAGUGGCGAAGGCGGCUCACUGGCUCGAUACUGACGCUGAGGUGCGAAAGUGUGGGGAGCAAACAGGAUUAGAUACCCUGGUAGUCCACACCGUAAACGAUGAAUGCCAGUCGUCGGGAAGCAUGCUAUUCGGUGACACACCUAACGGAUUAAGC
rnacentral:rRNA from 1 species